rnacentral:rRNA from 1 species
AGUGAACGCUGGCGGUAGGCCUAACACAUGCAAGUCGAACGGCAGCACAGUAAGAGCUUGCUCUUACGGGUGGCGAGUGGCGGACGGGUGAGGAAUACAUCGGAAUCUACUUUUUCGUGGGGGAUAACGUAGGGAAACUUACGCUAAUACCGCAUACGACCUACGGGUGAAAGCAGGGGAUCUUCGGACCUUGCGCGAUUGAAUGAGCCGAUGUCGGAGUAGCUAGUUGGCGGGUAAAGGCCCACCAAGGCGACGAUCCGUAGCUGGUCUGAGAGGAUGAUCAGCCACACUGGAACUGAGACACGGUCCAGACUCCUACGGGAGGCAGCAGUGGGGAAUAUUGGACAAUGGGCGCAAGCCUGAUCCAGCCAUACCGCGUGGGUGAAGAAGGCCUUCGGGUUGUAAAGCCCUUUUGUUGGGAAAGAAAAGCAGCAGGUUAAUACCCCGCUGUUCUGACGGUACCCAAAGAAUAAGCACCGGCUAACUUCGUG